rnacentral:lncRNA from 1 species
CAUCAUAUAAUUAGUAUUAGUUGGUCUUUGUUUUAUCCAAAACAUCAUAACUACCAAUUUGAAAUAUGCAAGACUUAGAAAACAUUUCUAUUACAUAUUUCAUGAUGUGUUAGAAACCUUCUUAAGAUAUGUCACUCAAUUUGAAAUCUUGGAGAAUGACUCUAAGACUUGAUUUUGGAACGAAGUAUGACUCACCUUGAUUGAUUUAACCUUUUCAAUAAUUCCUGAUUCCUCUUCUUAGCCAUACAAGUGCACUAAGGUGUCCUUAGAGGAUCAAUUGUGAUAUGGUUUUCAUAAUCAUUAAGAUGAUUGUAACAUCCGGAUUCCCAGGUAUUAUUUUAUUCUUUUAUUUUUGGGUGAUUGUGAGGAGACUCGGCGAGUUGGAGUCUAAACUCACCGAGUAGGAUUGUGGUUUUGUGCGCGGGUUCGAGUCUGGACUCGGCAAGUCCAAAAGUGGACUCGGCGAGUCCAUGCUGUUUAAUGAAACCCUAAUUUCCAGGGCUUGAGACCUAUUUAAAGGGGCUUAUAGCCGUCAUUUGCGGCCACCAACCCCAGAGAGAAACCCUAAAGAGAUUUUGAGCGUUUUGGGAGAGAGAAGAGGCCAUUGUUAACCUUUGAAGCUUUGUUUGCCAAGGCAAAGGAGAUUCUAGCUAAGAGGAGGCAAGGGAGGUGGACAUCCUUCGAUUUUUGAGCUCAGAGCAUCAUUUUGGACGUAUAUUUUGGCUCCCUUUUCUGCUGUUAUGAUGAACAUGGGGCUUUAGGGUUUCUUGACCCCUUUGUUGGUUAGAUUUGAUGUCCAUUUCAUCGCUAUUUGUGAUGACGCUUGAGAUGGGAUCCAUAGAGGUCCAGAGAAGCUUUAUUCCUUAAGCUUUGUGAGGAUUCAUGGGAGUGUUGACCUAGAGUUAUGAGAUAUGGGGCUAAAACAUCAUUUAAGAGCAAAUAGAUGUUGUUUGAGCACCAAGGUUUGGACUUUACAUGAUUAUCAUGCUUGGGGAGGCCAGAUCUAUGAUUGUAUGGAAAAGAUCUGACCUCAGAAGUGAGUUUGAGUUUAUGCAUGGCAUGGACUCGCCGAGUCUGAAGAACAGACUCGGCGAGUAGCAUGAAGNGGCCGGGGCGAGUAGCUUGAAGUUGCCGUAACCACUCAGCGAGUGGUCUUGUCGAGUUGAGGGGUCGACUCAGUGAGUCAGGGAGAGUCAGGGGGGACGGAUUCAAGCCGGAACUCGCCGAGUUGUUCUUGAGUCUCAGCGAGUUGAGUCGUGGUGGCCCCACGAUUUAUGCCAGGUGAAACUCUUUGAGUCAGAGAUUACUCGGCGUGUCAAGAGAGGAUCCAAGGGAGUCAGUGGACACGUAUAGACUCGCCGAGUCGCCCUAGUGCACUCGCCAAGUCUGGUCAACGUUGACCGUUGACGUUGUUGACCUUUAGGGUUGAGUUCAGUUGUAUUUAUGAGUGUAUUACUUUGUGUGAUUAGGUGGAGGCUAGAUCACAUUUAUUCCGAGGCAAAUAUUUACCGAGAUACGCGAGGUGAGUAUUCUCACUAUACUUUACCUUGAGUAGCUAACCAGAGUUAUGUGACAGAGUAUUUGUAUGCUAUGUAUGUUAUGUGUUGUACUGCAUUAUUUCUAUGCGAUUUAUGCUGUGCAUAUUUACAGAGUUAGAACCGGAAGGUUCCCAGAGUUAGAACCGGAAGGUUCACAGAGUUAGAACCAGAGGGUUCACAGAGUAGGGUCCACAGACCCACAGAGUUAUAGCCUCGAGUGGCUAAUAUGUGUUAUGUGUGGUAUUUUGGGGAAACUCACUAAGCUUCGUGCUUACAAUGUUUGUGUUAUGUGUUUCAGGUUUCUCUCAGGAUCACGGGAUGGCACCACUCGAUUGUACACACCAGAGAAAGAGUCAUGUUUUGAGGAUCCUGGUUUAUUAAGCAAGUGAAAAUGGAGUUAUGUUUUUGUAAUUCGAUUAUGACUGGAAUUUUAAGAAAAGUGUUUUUAAGAAUUAACGAUUAUUUUUAAAUGAAAAAUUGUUUUGAAAUUUACGGUGUUACAAGUUGGUAUCAGAGCCUUGGUUUGAGGGAUUCGGAUGCACCUUAGGGUAAAUCUGGACUCAAACUGUGGAUUUAAGAAAAUUUUUCAAAAAGAAAUGUGUUUUUAUAAAGAGAAUAAGACUUUCAAAGAGAAAGCAAAAUGAGCAGUGUGUACAAUCAGUCAGAGCUCGAACGGUGAUUUCAUAAAACACCCUUAUUUUGUGUUAUGAGAUAUUUGUGAUAUAUUUUAUGAGAUAUUAUGCAUGCUAGAGGCAGGUAGGCAAUUCAUAUUUUAGGACGAGAGUUGCCUGAUUUGUGAUGCCUUAGCCUAGGGUUGCUGAUAUAUGUGAUGUGCUUUUGAGUAUGUGCUGAGCGAGAGUGUCCAGCAGGAAAUUUUUAGGGGAUUUGAGUAGGGAAGUAAUAUGGAAGAGGUAUCUAUAUGAGCAUAUGAGGAGGUUGCCAAGAGGGUAGCCAGAUGCCCACGUGGGGCGGAGUUGUUAGAGUUUAGUGAUAUCCAUUACGUAUGAGGAAAGCGAGUGGAUAAUAACCUAAGGAGGUUUUUCGUGCUGAAGGGGACGCUGCAAUGCCCGAAUGCUGCUUGCUUCGUGCUUGGUGGAGCUUUCAAUGAUUGGAGUCAGCUACUAAGUGAAUAUGAUGAUAUUCAAGAGGUAGAUGGUUGGCAUCAUUAGGAGCUCUUCAGCAGCUGAUGGCAGAAAAGUGUGGGAAUCUAGGAAGAGCCUAGGGAGUAACCUUAGCCAGAUGAGUGCGCUGGCAGAGUAGAGAAUUUCGCUAGGAAGCGAGCACGCGCGACGGGAUGGGUGAAUGAGAAGGUCAAGCAGCUACUUAGGAGCUUCGGGAUAGUCCGUGUGGAAAGUAUGGGUAGAUGUGGUAGGUAGUAUGGGCCCGUACUAUUGAAAGCAGAGGACCCAUACUUGAUACAGGGAGUAUUAUGAAGGUUCUAAGGAGUGGAUUGAGGAGUGAUGUUAUGGUUUGAGUACCAUACAUCAGAGUGGAUUGAGGAGUGAUGUUAUGGUUCGAGUACCAUACAUCGGAGUGGAAUGAGGAGUGGUGUUAUGGUUCGAGUACCAUACAUCAGAGUGGAUUGAGGAGUGAUGUUAUGGUUCGAGUACCAUACAUCGGAGUGGAAUGAGGAGUGAUGUUAUGGUUCGAGUACCAUACAUCAGAGUAGAUUGAGGAGUGAUGUUAUGGUUUGAGUACCAUACAUCGGAGCGGAUUGAGGAGUGAUGUUAUGGUUCGAGUACCAUACAUCAGAGCGGAUCGAGGAGUGAUGUUAUGGUUCUAGUACCAUACAUCAGAGCGGAUUGAGGAGUGAUGUUAUGGUUCGGGUACCAUACACCGAAGCAUAUUAAGAAGAGAUGUCAUGGAAUGAGUACCAUGGUUCGUAGUGAAAGAUGCUUGUGGUUCUCCGGUUAUCUGGUCAUGAUUGAGUUUGAAGAGGCGUCCCUUGAGAGGGAGAUCGAGAGCCUCUCAGAGUAUUUUGGUAAGGAGUCAGAGGGAGGGGAGAAUUUCGUUCUGAGUUGAGUAAUCAGUCGAUAGAGAAAAUGUCACCUUCUAUGAUCUGGAUGGUACUAUUUAUGUCGUGUGCGAAACAUGAGAAGCAUGAUGUUUAAGUUUUGGGUUGGGGGUAAACCCUACAGGUUGUCAUUGAUGAUGAUUUUCCUCUAGAGUAUCGGGUAGCAUGUGUGCCGCGAGGCAGUGAUUUAUCAUGAACAGAUAGUGUGUUGGGACUGAGAUAGUCGAGGACCACGUUACACUAAUUUUAGUAUAGUAGGGCGUAUUGUAGUGGUAUCAGUGGGGAGUUCAGUCGAUUUUAUCAGUGCAAUGGUUUUUCUAUCUAUGUUGGGUAUUGAAUAUGGGAGUGGGUCCCUGUUCCUGGGAUGAUCCAUGUGUUGGAACAUUGGUUGAUGAGUUGAGGUGGGGGAGUAUGAUGAUUUCAUGGUUCAGUCUAUGUGCCAGUGAUGUUAUUGGACAAUUGAGUUGUUUGGUAUUGGAUUGGUAUGAGACUUGGAACGACUAGAGGCAGUCGUGACGAGAAGUUCUUGAGGAUUUCAUAUGAGGUUCAAAGUAUAUGAGAUCGAUUGAUUUCCUUAAAGGGGAUUAUCGGGCGUUGCGUGGCACUUUCCAGGGGCAGGUGCGAUUUUGCUGGUGAAAAUAGUUUAUAGGAUGGUUGUGUGCCAAUUGGUGAUGGUUCAAACCCUGAGUGGGGGAGAACCGGGUACCAUAUGGAAGAAAGCAGAGAUUUGUCAAGAGCAGUUAUAAGUGGGGUAUAGAGAUCUGCGGUAAGAAUUCAUGAGACUAGAGAUAUUGGUGAUAGAGGAAAGGGUCAGAGUGAGCUAAUGCAGGAAGUACUUGUUUGAGAAGGAUGAAUGUCUCCACGGCAGGUGGUCAAUGGUAAGGAACCUGGUAGUGGUCAGUGUUGUUGCAAGUAGGUAGAGAAUGAUUGAGCAGCCAACUCCCGGAUCGGUAUGCGUAUUCUUGCUUAGAUGUUGAGUGGUAGGAAAAAGGGUUUCAGAGAAUUAUCAGCAUAUUCCGUAGCGUUAGCGUUUUCUCGUGUUCCAAUUGAGUAAUUGGAUACACCGAAGUUGCGCAUUGGGAAAAUGAAGAUCUGAUUAUGGGGUUCAGAGGAAAUGUAUUAUUGUAUCUAUAUGACGCUUGGGGCAGGAGAUCAGUGGUUGUGGCAGGAUUUUAUGAUGUUCUGUUGGGGUGUUCCAAGGUAUCCGGGUAUGAUAUCAUGAUUUAGGAGUUAUUCGAGAAUUUUGAGUUGAGACGACUUGUGGUGUAUCAAGUAUCUAUGGUUCCAGUGGGAGCCUUGGGAGUUGUCAUCAGGAAGGACUAUUUAAGAAUGUGGAUUUUCUGAAGAAAGAGGUAUUUUAUUAUGACGAUUGUCGUCAUACUUUAUGAUGCAUAAAUGGGGCAAGUGUGUGUAAAUAUCUUUGAUAGUCCGCGGAGCAUGAGCUCGUGAACAUAGUGUGGUGUGGUAUGAAAAUUGGAUUAUGGGGUAAUGGGAGAGAGUGUUGUGAUGCUACGGGGAGCAGUGGUAUUCACUAGUCAGAGAGUGUUGUGAUGCUACGGGGAGCCGUAGUAUUCACUAGUCAGAGGGUGUUGUGAUGCUACGGGGAGCCGUGGUAUUCACUAGUCAGAGAGUGUUAUGAUGCUAUGGGGAGCCGUGGUAUUCACUAGUCAGAGAGUGUUGUGAUGCUACGGGGAGCCGCAGUAUUCACUAGUCAGAGAGUGUUGUGAUGCUACGGGGAGCCGUAGUAUUCACCAGUCAGAGGGUGUUGUGAUGCUACGGGGAGCCGUAGUACUCACUGGUCAGAAGCUUUUGGUGAUGUUGAGGAGCCGUAGUAUUCUAGGCGGCAAGAGAGUGUGAUGAUGAAGUGUUCUCCGAGCAGAGUAUGAUGCAGAGGAGUUUUAGGCUCGAGUAGCCUAGUAUUGAGUUGUUGGAGCUUGGUGGUUAGGCGAGGGGUGAGACGGGGGUCUCCUUCUCUCUCGGGAAUUAUUAUAUUUUGAGUUGAGUUGAGGUGUGUUUGUCGCAACAUGAGGAAAUUGGGAAAUGGUAUACGCGCGGAGCGUAGGGUGAGUCAUGAGACCAAUGUUGUAUUGGGACACAAGGUUUCAACCUUGGGUCGGACCCAAACUCUCGAUUUGAGUUUGGCUUUGAUAGUGGAGGAUAUCGAGAUGAGAAUCUAGACUUCUGAGGUAAACUCUCGGAUGGGAGGUAUUGUUAUCGUCGGAUAUUUUUAUCUGUAUAGGUCAGUAAGAGAUGUCGUGAGAUGCACAGGAGAUGUGCGCAGCUAACAUCCGAGGUCGGGGUUGAGUUGAUCUUCGGUUGGGUUGCAGUCCUUGUAUGAGUUAAUGAGAAUUUUGUGUCUGGUGUGCCUUUGGGCUGAGAUAGUUGAUACGAGGAGGGAUUCGGUGAGACAUUUUGGAUCAUGAUUAUGGGUAACCGUGGAGGUUUAAUUUUUAGGCUGAGGUCAGACCUCGUGUGGUGUUAAAAGAGAUAUGGAAUUUUGAGCGAAGGAUUAUGAAUAAGAUGUUGAGGAAACUUCUGAGCAAUGCAUGGUUAUGCUUCUGUGUCUGAGGGCAGAGUGUCGGGAUUUUGAUCGGAUGGUUUCUGAUAGCAGUUUUAGAAGAUGGGCCCCGAUGGAGUGUGAACCCUUUUAAUCUCAGUGGUGGGGUUCGUCAGUUUUGGCAUGAUCAGUUUGGAGGAGAGAUAGUCGGUUGUUGGAUAUGGUCGUAUGAGAAUCGGAAAAAGCAGUGAGAAAGCAGGGUUGUUUUUCGAGGAGCAAUUAUCAUGGUGAUCGCUCGAGUAGGCGGUCUGGAGGCGGUUCAGGCCACUAGAGUUUCCGAUUAUUGGGAAGGCGUAUUUCUAGCGGCUAAAGUGUUGGUUUAGACUUUGUUUUGGAGGUUCCAUGUGAUUUUGGAUGUCUUUAGAGAAAGAUAUACAGGCGGUAUGAGGAUCAUUUCGGUGGUGCCUUUCGGGUUAAUGAUUUAAGUUUUGGGUGGUUCAGGAGUGAUUUCGGGGACGAAAUCUAAUUCAAGUGGGGGAGAAUUGUAACAUCCGGAUUCCCAGGUAUUAUUUUAUUCUUUUAU